CCACAUUGGGACUGAGACACGGCCCAAACUCCUACGGGAGGCAGCAGUAGGGAAUCUUCCACAAUGGACGAAAGUCUGAUGGAGCAACGCCGCGUGAAUGAAGAAGGCCUUCGGGUCGUAAAAUUCUGUUGUCAGAGAAGAACGUGCGUGAGAGUAACUGUUCACGUAUUGACGGUAUCUGACCAGAAAGCCACGGCUAACUACGUGCCAGCAGCCGCGGUAAUACGUAGGUGGCGAGCGUUGUCCGGAUUUAUUGGGCGUAAAGGGAACGCAGGCGGUCUUUUAAGUCUGAUGUGAAAGCCUUCGGCUUAACCGAAGUAGUGCAUUGGAAACUGGAAGACUUGAGUGCAGAAGAGGAGAGUGGAACUCCAUGUGUAGCGGUGAAAUGCGUAGAUAUAUGGAAGAACACCAGUGGCGAAAGCGGCUCUCUGGUCUGUAACUGACGCUGAGGUUCGAAAGCGUGGGUAGCAAACAGGAUUAGAUACCCUGGUAGUCCACGCCGUAAACGAUGAGUGCUAAGUGUUGGAGGGUUUCCGCCCUUCAGUGCUGCAGCUAACGCAUUAAGCACUCCGCCUGGGGAGUACGGUCGCAAGACUGAAACUCAAAGGAAUUGACGGGGGCCCGCACAAGCGGUGGAGCAUGUGGUUUAAUUCGAAGCAACGCGAAGAACCUUACCAAGUCUUGACAUCCUUCUGACCGGUACUUAACCGUACCUUCUCUUCGGAGCAGGAGUGACAGGUGGUGCAUGGUUGUCGUCAGCUCGUGUCGUGAGAUGUUGGGUUAAGUCC
rnacentral:rRNA from 1 species